rnacentral:tRNA from 1 species
GGAGAGAUCGCAUAGCCUGGCCUAGUGCGCGCGCUUGGAAAGCGCGUAGACGGGCAACCGUCUCCAGGGUUCGAAUCCCUGUCUCUCCG